CUCGGCAGACGGCUCAGUAACACGCGGAUAAUCUGCCCUCGGGUGGGGGAUACUCUCGGGAAACUGAGGAUAAUACCCCAUAGGUCUGGGAUGCUGGAACGCUUCCAGGUUGAAAGCUCCGGCGCCCGAGGAUGAGUCUGCGGCCUAUCAGCUCGUAGGGGGCUUUACAGACCCCCUAGGCUUCGACGGGUACGGGCUAUGGGAGUAGUCGCCCGGAGAUGGAUUCUGAGACACGAAUCCAGGCCCUACGGGGCGCAGCAGUCGCGAAAACUCCACAAUGUGGGAAACCACGAUGGGGGAACUCCCAGUGCGGACACUUUGUGUUCGCUGUUCUCGCGCCUAAAAAGCACGAAAAGUAAGGGCCGGGUAAGACGGGUGCCAGCCGCCGCGGUAAUACCCGCGGCCCGAGUGGUGCUCAUUAUUAUUGAGUCUAAAACGUCCGUAGCCGGUCAGGUAGAUUCCUGGGUAAAUCGGGCCGCUUAACGGUUCGAAUUCCGGGGAGACCGCCCGACUAGGGACCGGGAGAGGCGUGAGGUACUCCUGGGGUAGGGGUAAAAUCCUGUAAUCCUGGGAGGACCACCAGUGGCGAAGGCGUCACGCUAGAACGGAUCCGACGGUCAGGGACGAAGCCCAGGGGCGCAAACGGGAUUAGAUACCCCGGUAGUCCUGGGUGUAAACGCUGCAGGCUUGGUGUCGGGGGUCCUACGGGGGCGCCCGGUGCCGGAGCGAAAGUGUUAAGCCUGCUACUUGG
rnacentral:rRNA from 1 species